rnacentral:rRNA from 1 species
UACGUAGGUGGCAAGCGUUUUCCGGAAUUAUUGGGCGUAAAGCGCGCGCAGGCGGUUAUGUAAGUCUGAUGUUAAAGCCCGGGGCUCAACCUCGGUUCGCAUUGGAAACUGCGUAGCUUGAGUGCAGAAGAGGAAAGUGGUAUUCCACGUGUAGCGGUGAAAUGCGUAGAUAUGUGGAGGAACACCAGUGGCGAAGGCGACUUUCUGGUCUGUAACUGACGCUGAGGCGCGAAAGCGUGGGGAGCAAACAGG